GGCUUCGUAGCUCAGCUGAGUGUGGGUAUGCUGUUUCUGUCGCUGGUUCGAAUCCAGCUGAAGCCC